rnacentral:misc_RNA from 1 species
AGGUUUUAAAAAUAUUAAAUUAUGGAACCAAGAAUUCCUAAAGAUUUUAUGCGAAAUUUUUGGUCUCCGGAAAUCCUCUCCUAAAAGAGUGAAUUAAGAGGGUUUAUGUAGAAACCCAAAAAUCUUAGAAGAAACGAUGUGGGAUUUUUGACAAUUUUUGAAAUCCCUUAAAAGAUAGGGAUUUUCCAUUGGUUAGUGUACAAAUUUUAAUGGUGAGCGGUCGAUUUUGAGUGAAGGACAAUCGGGGCAUGAUAUUUCGACAUCUCACCCUCUCCAAUGGUCUUCGUACGAAGAGAGAUGGGAGGAUGCAUCGCGUGAAUGCUGGGAUUUCU